GGCCAGGGUGUGACAUUAUUAAGUUGGUUAGGCCAGGGUGUGACAUUAUUAUGUUGGUUAGGCCAGGGUGUGACAUUAUUAUGUUGGUUAGGCCAGGGUGUGACAUUAUUAUGUUGGUUAGGCCAGGGUGUGACAUUAUUAUGUUGGUUAGGCCAGGGUGUGACAUUAUUAUGUUGGUUAGGCCAGGGUGUGACAUUAUUAUGUUGGUUAGGCCAGGGUGUGACAUUAUUAUGUUGGUUAGGCCAGGGUGUGACAUUAUUAUGUUGGUUAGGCCAGGGUGUGACAUUAUUAUGUUGGUUAGGCCAGGGUGUGACAUUAUUAUGUUGGUUAGGCCAGGGUGUGACAUUAUUAUGUUGGUUAGGCCAGGGUGUGACAUUAUUAUGUUGGUUAGGCCAGGGUGUGACAUUAUUAUGUUGGUUAGGCCAGGGUGUGACAUUAUUAUGUUGGUUAGGCCAGGGUGUGACAUUAUUAUGUUGGUUAGGCCAGGGUGUGACAUUAUUAUGUUGGUUAGGCCAGGGUGUGACAUUAUUAUGUUGGUUAGGCCAGGGUGUGACAUUAUUAUGUUGGUUAGGCCAGGGUGUGACAUUAUUAUGUUGGUUAGGCCAGGGUGUGACAUUAUUAUGUUCUAUUAUGUGUUCUAGGUAAGUCUAUGGGGUUGUGUUCAGUUGAGUGUUCUAGGUAAGUCUAUGGGGUUGUGUUCAGUUGAGUGUUCUAGGUAAGUCUAUGGGGUUGUGUUCAGUUGAGUGUUCUAGGUAAGUCUAUGGGGUUGUGUUCAGUUGAGUGUUCUAGGUAAGUCUAUGGGGUUGUGUUCAGUUGAGUGUUCUAGGUAAGUCUAUGGGGUUGUGUUCAGUUGAGUGUUCUAGGUAAGUCUAUGGGGUUGUGUUCAGUUUAGUUGUCUAGGUAAGUCUAUGGGGUUGUGUUCAGUUUAGUUGUCUAGGUAAGUCUAUGGGGUUGUGUUCAGUUUAGUUGUCUAGGUAAGUCUAUGGGGUUGUGUUCA